rfam:Erwinia tracheiphila strain BuffGH Etrach_2, whole genome shotgun sequence.
UUUCCCAUGUUAACCCCGGGUAAACAAGAAAAUUGCUUAAAAAAUUUUGCCUGAUAACCCAUACACGCAGCAAUGGCAUAAGACGUUUUGUGUAAUCAGGCAUUUAACGGGCUGCGGGUUGCAGCCUGGACGAAAGACGGGAUUGGUUCAUUCAGGUUCACACUGGCGGUUCCCCCCUUUUAAAAGUGCUGUUUUUCCAGCUGAAAAACAGGCUGCCGAGAAUUUGCGCCCCUGUAGCUACCGACAUCCGGGAGGUUGACGGCUUUGCCAUGAGACCUGGGGUCAUCGGUUGACCACGUCCAGCGUUACUACUGCCCGUAGCUUUGUCACUAA